rnacentral:rRNA from 1 species
ACGUAAACAACCUGCCCUCAGGAUGGGGACAACAGACGGAAACGACUGCUAAUACCGAAUAAGUUCCAAGAGCCGCAUGGCCCAUGGAAGAAAAGGUGGCCUCUACCUGUAAGCUAUCGCCUGAAGAGGGGUUUGCGUCUGAUUAGCUGGUUGGAGGGGUAACGGCCCACCAAGGCGACGAUCAGUAGCCGGUCUGAGAGGAUGAACGGCCACACUGGAACUGAGACACGGUCCAGACUCCUACGGGAGGCAGCAUG